UACGGAGGGUGCAAGCGUUAUCCGGAUUCACUGGGUUUAAAGGGAGCGUAGGUGGGCAGGUAAGUCAGUGGUGAAAUCUCCGGGCUUAACCCGGAAACUGCCAUUGAUACUAUCUGUCUUGAAUAUUCUGGAGGUAAGCGGAAUAUGUCAUGUAGCGGUGAAAUGCUUAGAUAUGACAUGGAACACCAAUUGCGUAGGCAGCUCACUACGGAAAUAUUGACGCUGAGGCACGAAAGCGUGAGGAUCAAACAGG
rnacentral:rRNA from 1 species